rnacentral:snRNA from 1 species
AUACUUACCUUAAGAUAUCAGAGGAGAUCAAGAAGUCCUACUGAUCAAACACGCACUUUCAAUGGUAGAAGGAUGUUACGCAUUUAUCUUUGAACUAUAAUAGUUCACUGAAUUCAUUGAUGAAAACUCCUUGGUCACAUACACAUACGUUGCGGAAGGCAUGUUUGCUGACGUUUCCGUUCCCUUGUUUCAAUUAUCGGUUAUUCCCGUGAUUCCUUUUGGAAUCUGGGGGAUUCAACCGAUUUUUGAGGCCCUUUGUUUCUUCUGCCUGGAGAAGUUUGACACCAAAUUCAAAUUGGUGUUAGGGGAGCUGAGACCUUUCAGAAGAGAGCAUUACGAAGGCAUUCUUUUUAAUGUACACCCCUCUAGUGCGCUGUUCAAUCUUUUAAAUGGCUGAUUCGAAUGAACUUUUAGUUUAUGAUGGAGGUAUAGCUGUUGGGAUUGUUCGGUCAGGGUUGCAUAUUUGGAGAUGUGCUCUUUUGAGCAGUCUUGGUGUUGCUCAUUGUCGUAGUUUAUGAGAAAAAUUCUGGAAGGUUUUGGUAGGAACGGGUGGAUCUUAUAAUUUUUGAUUUGUUUU